AACAAUGAUGAAAACUUGGAAUAGGAAGUGCCGUCAGAUGCGAUAACUGACGAUUGUUUCUGAUCCAAUUUUCUGAGU
rnacentral:snoRNA from 1 species